rnacentral:rRNA from 1 species
UACGGGGGGGGCAAGCGUUGUUCGGAAUUACUGGGCGUAAAGGGCUCGUAGGUGGCCAACUAAGUCAGACGUGAAAUCCCUCGGCUUAACCGGGGAACUGCGUCUGAUACUGGAUGGCUUGAAUCCGGGAGAGGGAUGUGGAAUUCCAGGUGUAGCGGUGAAAUGCGUAGAUAUCUGGAGGAACACCGGUGGCGAAGGCGGCAUCCUGGACCGGUAUUGACGCUGAGGCGCGAAAGCCAGGGGAGCAAACGGG